UGCAGAGAGUUUUCUGUGCUCCUCACCCAGCUUCCUCUAUGUUCACACCUUAUAUAACCAUAGUACAAGUAGCAAACUGAGGAAGUGAAUGAGGAUAUGAGGCUAUUGGCUAAAUUACAGGCCACAUUAGAAUUUUGCCAAGUAUUCAAACUGUCUGUUUUCCGUUCCAGGAUCCAUUUCAGGAUCCCAUAUCAAGUUUAAUUGUCUUGUCUCAUUAAUUUCCUCCAAACUGUAGCCAUUCCUCACUUUUCUUGCCCUUCAUGUCCUUGACAAUUUUGAGGAGUACGAGUUGGUUAUUUCGUUGAAUGUCUUCGACCUGGGUUUAAUGUUCCUUUUAUUUUCCAGGGAGGAAUCUCCCAGUGUUUGUGCCAUGUUUUGAUCUGACUGAAAGCCAUAAACAUAGCCGAAGCCUGGGCCAUCCACAGAAGACCCAAUGUUCUCUUUUUCCAAGUGGGCAUUUUGUAUCUCUGAAGAGUUCUAGACUGAGCUACAUCAGUAGACCUCUGCAUUUAAAGGGAGCAAUUCUCAUCCGAGGAUCCUGAUUCUUCUACUGUAGUGCAAUUUCACUACUCUCUCCAAAUGUCUCCAAGCAAAUUCAAAGCAGCUGAAAAUAACUGCAUGCCUGAGAGGACCACGAAGCUUCAGGCCAGCCCUGUCCCGAAGUCUUGUGUGCUUCAUGUCGAGUGGUCUGCAGUGGACUGUGUCUGCUUGAAGCGAUGCUCCGGAGGGCUUAUUGUUGUGUGGGGUAAAGCAUGAGAUCACUGAAAAAUGAGAGAAAUCGAGCAUACGAAAUGUGAAGCAUAUCUGUUGACACCGUGCGCUCCCUUUGCUUGCACUGGAUGGUGCAUGGUUUCCAUGCGCAGUGCCUGAGGUGUGGGGCAGGCGAGGCCCAUGCAGCCUGGCUCCUUUCCAGAAGGUUGCUGUUCAUUACAGCUCGAGUGUGCUGGGUUCUGCAGAUAUUAUCUAUUUUAAAUUAACGCUCCGUAAAAGGAUUUAAAGUUUUCUGAAAAGAAACCAAUGAAUGAAGCUAAUAGUAAUAAUGCAAACACAAGCAAGCUGCCAAGUAAGCCAUUUUUCUAUUACGGAGCUCUUCAUCAGUCAUAUUAUUAAAGAAAAAACAACAAUACUAGUAAUAAUGAUCACCUAUUCAAGACCAAGAGUUUGAUCCUCCAAAAUUCAAACAAGGAAAAAUCUCUCCCAAUCUCUCCUUUCCUCCAUCCCUUUUCUUUACUUCUCAUCCCAUAUAUAAUAUUAUAUAAUGCAUACAUAAUAAAAGACAUUCACUAUUAUUAGCAAUGAUUCCUUAUCUGUAUAUUGUGCCUUAAGAUAUAUUAGCAAAUGGUAUGCAUAUUUAGAAGACUUAUUUUUAAAAAUAAUAUAUAUGUUGGGGUAAAGGGUCAACCCUUUAUUCAUUGACAAGUGAGGUUAUCAAAGAAGUCUGGACUCAUUUUUGCUCUUCCAAGUCUAAAUAUAAAUUUUGGUUUAUAAAGGAUUUCAUAUGGUUCCCAACAGCACAUUGUAAAAAUUCAACUCUCUGCCUUACUAGUUAUUGAAGUCAUCUUACAGAUGGCCACAAUAAGUCCCUUCUUAUUUAUUUUUGCCAAUAUAAUUUGUAGGGUAGAUGUAUGUAGUUUGCUUGAUUCUGACCGGAAAUCUGUUCUGUUUCCUGCUUGACUGAAAUUUGGGGCAAUGGAGGCAGCAGAAAUAUGCAAAUAUAAACCUGAGUUACACAAUGGGCUUUGGUUCAGUGGAUGAAUAUUAUUUAAUUUUCCAAUGUCAUUGUAAGAAAUUGAGAGAUGAACUUGAACUUUUAAAACUUUGUGGACAAAAUAUCAUCAAUAUUAAGGGAACAAGUUUCUUAAACUUUAGAAGGAAAUCAAUUCUAAUGUGUAGUUAACCAGAUUGUUCAUUGUUGGGUUUAUCAUUAACUUGGUCUUUACCUCAUUAACUUCCCUCUGUCUUAUUAUUUAUUAUGCUGCGUCUAUUUUCUCUGUAAUCAAGUGUAACUGUAGCAUUGGGGAGAGCAUUAGAUUUUCUAUAGAUUUGGGUGUUUCAUGUGCAGCAGACCACGUGCUAUUUUUGCCUGAGCAGCUCCUGUUCACCUUUGUUCUGGAAACAGAACUCUCCUUUAAUUUUGGAAACUUCCCCUCCUAUUACUGAUAGGGCUGUCAAUCGCAUGUCCCCCAAGCCUCCAUCAAUGUGAUGGUCAGGGACUUGUGUGGGCCACAGACUCAAACCUGAACUUCUGCCGAAGAUAUCAAGAAGGAGAAGCCCUCUAUUUACUGAAGUCUCUGACUGUAAUAACUGAGUGAAUUGAUAUCUUCCAGCAGCCACUGUAGCACCACAAAAGGAAGGCUUGUCCAGGAAUUAAACCAACACAAGGAAAGCCCAGACAAAGAGGGAAGGAUGGGCUCAUGAUGUUUGAACCUCUGAUCUGUCUAUGCCUUGAGCCAGCCACACUGCAGGAUGCUGUUGCUCCAGCAAUUAAAUGUCUUAUUUUUGUUUAGGCUAGUUUGUGUCAGUGUGUGUCACUUAUUACUAAAAUGUUCCUGAGUUAGACAACACUGUGGAGGGAAAAUCAUAUGAACUUAAUGAUUUGACCUAAAAAAUGGCAAUUUCUUAGGAUUCAAACCAAUAUAAUAAAAAAUGCAGGUGGUCAGAUGACUCAAGAACCAUUGCUUUGUGUUCUUGGCCUCUUUGAGCUUCAGUUUCCUCAUAUUGAAAGGAGAGAGAUAACUGUCUACCCACGCAUCGGUUCACACACAGAAACGGGAAAUGCAGGAUCAGGUAAAGCAUAGAAAAACCUUUGUAGACUAUCUGGCUCAAUAAAAUGUUACCUAUUGUUACACAUUGGAAGAUUUGAUUCCUUGAGAUAUAUUACAGUGUAUAGAGUGAGCUAACUGGUCAUGCUUAGGAAAAAUUUUGGAAUUGGUGCACAUGUGAGGCUGUGAGGACGUCAAAAUUUGACUGCAGAUGUUAUAAAGUCCUGUGUUUUGGCAGAUAAUCAUCUCCCCAUUUAGAAUUCACAGGACUCAUCUGGCAUCCGGUGGAGUUGGUAGGAGCUGAUUAAUGCCUGGCUUCUAGUGGAGAUGAUGAGAACUGGUCAAUGUAAGUUACGUUAGGAUGGCAUUGUGGACGUCAGAAACCCAAAAGAGGACAGAAACCCAAGCCUAAACAAAAAUAGGACAUUUAAUUGCUGGAGCAAC
ensembl:lincRNA